GACGAACGCUGGCGGCGUGCUUAACACAUGCAAGUCGAGCGGUAAGGCCCUUUCGGGUACACGAGCGGCGAACGGGUGAGUAACACGUGGGUGACCUGCCCUCAGCUCUGGGAUAAGCCUGGGAAACUGGGUCUAAUACUGGAUAUGACUCCACGGUGCAUGUCGUGGGGUGGAAAGCCUUGUGCGGCUGAGGAUGGGCCCGCGGCCUAUCAGCUUGUUGGUGGGGUGANGGCCUACCAAGGCGACGACGGGUAGCCGGCCUGAGAGGGCGACCGGCCACACUGGGACUGAGACACGGCCCAGACUCCUACGGGAGGCAGCAGUGGGGAAUCUUGCGCAAUGGGCGAAAGCCUGACGCAGCGACGCCGCGCGAGGGAUGACGGCCU
rnacentral:rRNA from 1 species